GACGAACGCUGGCGGCGUGCUUAACACAUGCAAGUCGAACGGAAAGGUCCUGCUUUUGUGGGGUGCUCGAGUGGCGAACGGGUGAGUAACACGUGAGUAACCUGCCCUUGACUUUGGGAUAACUUCAGGAAACUGGGGCUAAUACCGGAUAGGAGCUCCUGCUGCAUGGUGGGGGUUGGAAAGUUUCGGCGGUUGGGAAUGGACUCGCGGCUUAUCAGCUUGUUGGUGGGGUAGUGGCUUACCAAGGCUUUGACGGGUAGCCGGCCUGGGAGGGUGACCGGCCACAUUGGGACUGAGAUACGGCCCAGACGCCUACGGGAGGCAGCAGUGGGGAAUAUUGCACAAUGGGCGGAAGCCUGAUGCAGCAACGCCGCGUGCGGGAUGACGGCCUUCGGGUUGUAAACCGCUUUCGCCUGUGACGAAGCGUGAGUGACGGUAAUGGGUAAAGAAGCACCGGCUAACUACGUG
rnacentral:rRNA from 1 species